CUGAUCAGAUCUAAAGAAACAGUCGCUGAAAUGAAUCGGUUAUUAGGAAUCAAAGAGUUUACCCAAGUAACAUUUUCUCAAGCAGUUGGUUUAUAAAGUUGCCUUUUAGCCGCACCGAGGUUCUCCAAUAGUCAUUGGCUUGCUUGAUGGAACUAUUUAGGUUAAAUUUUGUGCUAAUAGGAACUAGGAACCUUAGGUAAAUUAAAAUUCUAAUUAGUUCUAGUCAAAUAUCAACAAUAACGUUGUUAUGGCCAUAAACGAGGGCUUGAUGGUUUUGAGAUAAUAAAGUUUUGGAGAGGUUAUAUUUCAGCAUUAAUUUGGCAAUCAAAAUUCCAAUAUAGAACGAUUUUAGCAUUAAAAUUACCUAUUUAGAAUCAUAUGGUCUUGAAUCAAUCGCCUAACUAUUUGGCACUUUAUACGGCCUAUUCCGGAAAUUAUAGCAUUUUUUAACACCUAAAGGACUUGCUAAAAGUCAUAUGGAUAAUAAGAUAACUUUAUGGGAUAAGGUUUAACCAACUAGUCACAAUAAAACACAGUUUGGGGACGGUCGCGACUAUUAGAUCCUACGUCAUUUAUUCUUAGAAUACAGGGAUGUCUUGGCACAAAAUUGUAAGAAGUGGUAAUUUUAAAAGAAAAGUGAAGCGAAAUUUCCAACGAAUUACAACUGGUCAGUUUGCAAUAGAUACACCGGAAGAAGAUAAUUCUCGUAAUUUAACUGAUGGCGGUCUUGGCAUUGAACCUGAUCCUCUAGAAUCAGAUAUUCACGAUGCCAGUACCAGUGGCUUAACAGAAAAACUGACUUCAGAACAACCGAGUUCAUCGAUGGAUUGGAAUGAAGAUGAUGAAAUUGAUGACUUUAAGAAAUUUGAUUUUAGUCAAGAUUUAAAAGAUUGCGCACUGAAAUAUAACAUUAGACACGUU